rnacentral:rRNA from 1 species
GAUGAACGCUGGCGGCGUGCCUAAUACAUGCAAGUCGAGCGAACAGACGAGGAGCUUGCUCCUCUGACGUUAGCGGCGGACGGGUGAGUAACACGUGGAUAACCUACCUAUAAGACUGGGAUAACUUCGGGAAACCGGAGCUAAUACCGGAUAAUAUAUUGAACCGCAUGGUUCAAUAGUGAAAGACGGUUUUGCUGUCACUUAUAGAUGGAUCCGCGCCGCAUUAGCUAGUUGGUAAGGUAACGGCUUACCAAGGCAACGAUGCGUAGCCGACCUGAGAGGGUGAUCGGCCACACGGGAACUGAGACACGGUCCAGACUCCUAAGGGAGGCAGCAGUAGGGAAUCGUCCGCAAUGGGCGAAAGCCUGACGGAGCAACGCCGCGUGAGUGAUGAAGGUCUUCGGAGCGUAAAACUCGGUUAUUAGGGAAGAACAAAUGUGUAAGUAACUAUGCACGUCUUGACGGUACCUAAUCAGAAAGCCACGGCUAACUACGUG